AAGAAACGUAAGAGGGACGAGGAGGGAGGUUUAACGAGGGAAGUUGGCGAUCGCUCGUUUCGUUCAUUCACGGGGAUG